rnacentral:misc_RNA from 1 species
GUGAGUCAUCGAAUCUUUGAACGCACAUUGCGCCCUCUGGUAUUCCGGAGGGCAUGCCUGUCCGAGCGUCAUUGCUGUACCUCAAGCCCGGCUUGUGUGUUGGGCCUACCGUUCCUUUGGACGGUGACCCAAAAGGCAGUGGCGGCGUCGCGUCCCGGUCCUUGAAGCGUAUGGGGCUUUGUCACCCGCUUAGAGGCCGGCCGACCCCGUAGCCCAUCGUGGAUCUUCCACAUUUAUUCUGAUGGACCUCGGAUCAGGUAGGGAUACCCGCUGAACUUAAGCAUAUCAAUAAGCGGAGGA